AGAGUUUGAUCAUGGCUCAGAACGAACGCUGGCGGCGUGGAUAAGACAUGCAAGUCGAACGAGAUUUUUCGUUGUAGCAAUACGAUGGAAAGUCUAGUGGCGAACGGGUGCUUAACACGUGGGCAACCUGCCAUGAAGUGGGGGAUAGCUCGCCGAAAGGCGAAUUAAUACCGCAUGUGAUUAGAGAGGACAUCCUUUCGAAAUUAAAGUCGGGGCAACCUGACGCUUCUUGUGGGGCCCGCGGCCUAUCAGCUAGUUGGUGAGGUAACGGCUCACCAAGGCUUUGACGGGUAGCUGGUCUGAGAGGACGACCAGCCACACUGGGACUGAGACACGGCCCAGACACCUACGGGUGGCAGCAGUCGAGAAUUUUUGACAAUGGGGGAAACCCUGAUCGAGCGACGCCGCGUGGAGGAUGAAGGUCUUCGGAUUGUAAACUCCUGUCAUUGGGGAACAAUGCGCAAAUAUUAACUGUAUUUGUGUUGAUAGUACCCGAAGAGGAAGAGACGGCUAACUCUGUGCCAGCAGCUGCGGUAAUACAGAGGUCUCAAGCGUUGUUCGGAUUCAUUGGGCGUAAAGGGUGCGUAGGCGGCGCGGUAAGUCGGGUGUGAAAUCUCGGAGCUUAACUCCGAAACUGCAUUCGAUACUGCCGUGCUUGAGGACUGGAGAGGAGACUGGAAUUUACGGUGUAGCGGUGAAAUGCGUAGAUAUCGUAAGGAAGACCAGUGGCGAAGGCGGGUCUCUGGACAGUUCCUGACGCUGAGGCACGAAGGUCAGGGGAGCAAACGGGAUUAGAUACCCUAGUAGUCC
rnacentral:rRNA from 1 species